CCUACGUGAGGCAGCAGUAGGGAAUCUUCCACAAUGGACGAAAGUCUGAUGGAUCAACGCCGCGUGAGUGAAGAAGGGUUUCGGCUCGUAACGCUCUGUUGGUAGUGAAGAAAGAUAGAGGUAGUAACUGGCCUUUAUUUGACGGUAAUUACUUAGAAAGUCACGGCUAACUACGUGCCAGCAGCCGCGGUAAUACGUAGGUGGCAAGCGUUGUCCGGAUUUAUUGGGCGAAAAGCGAGUGCAGGCGGUUCAAUAAGUCUGAUGUGAAAGCCUUCGGCACAACCGGAGAAUGGCAUCAGAAAGUGUUUAACUUGAUUGCAGAUGAGUAGAAUGAAACUCCAUGUGUAGCGGUUGAAUGCGUAGAUAUAUGGA
rnacentral:rRNA from 1 species